rnacentral:misc_RNA from 1 species
GGUGAAGAACGCAGCGAAAUGCGAUAAGUAAUGUGAAUUGCAGAAUUCAGUGAAUCAUCGAAUCUUUGAACGCACAUUGCGCCCGCCAGUAUUCUGGCGAGCAUGCCUGUUCGAGCGUCAUUUCAACCAUCAAGCCCCAGGCUUGUGUUGGAGCCCUGCGGCUGCCGCAGCCUCCCAAAACCAGUGGCGGGCUCGCUAUCACACCGAGUGCAGUAGUUUACUCUUCGCUCAGGGCGUGUGGCGGGUGCUAGCCGUGAAACCCCCAACUUCUCAAGGUUGACCUCGGAUCAGGUAGGAAUACCCGCUGAACUUAAGCAUAUCAAUAAGCGGAGGA